AUUGAACGCUGGCGGCAUGCUUUACACAUGCAAGUCGAACGGCAGCACGGACUUCGGUCUGGUGGCGAGUGGCGAACGGGUGAGUAAUGUAUCGGAACGUGCCCAGUCGUGGGGGAUAACGUAGUGAAAAUUACGCUAAUACCGCAUACGAUCUAUGGAUGAAAGCGGGGGAUCGCAAGACCUCGCGCGAUUGGAGCGGCCGAUAUCAGAUUAGGUAGUUGGUGGGGUAAAGGCCCACCAAGCCAACGAUCUGUAGCUGGUCUGAGAGGACGACAAGCCACACUGGAACUGAGACACGGUCCAGAAUCCUACGGGAGGCAGCAGUGGGGAAUUUUGGACAAUGGGCGAAAGCCUGAUCCAGCCAUUCCGCGUGCAGGAUGAAGGCCCUCGGGUUGUAAACUGCUUUUGUACAGAACGAAAAGGUUUCUACUAAUACUAGGAGCUCAUGACGGUACUGUAAGAAUAAGCACCGGCUGACUACGUGCCAGCCGCCGCGGUAA
rnacentral:rRNA from 1 species